GCCCGCAGGGCUGUCAGGCGGCUCAGCGUAAUCAGGGCUAAUGACGGCGGCCGGGCGCUCCGCGGGACAAUGCGCGGGGCCGCGGGGUUUUGUCGGCCUGAAAGGCUAAUAGGCUUUUAACUCUGUCUGGGGCUGCUUGUCAUCUAUAUGAAGUUCUCCAGAGGCAUCUUAGCCCAUCCUACAAUUCAGGAUAACCUGAGAUG